CUCCUCCACCGGCCCAGGUGAGCUCUACCUCUCCUCUGUUUUUCCUUUUUUUUCUGUUUUUUUAGUUUUAGGUUUAUGUUUAGUUUAGAUUUAGUUUCAAUUUUAGUUUUAGGUUUAGUUUUAGGUUUAGGUUUAGUCUUAGUUUAGUUUUAGGUUUAGAUUUAGUUUUUUCCUUUUUUUCUGUUUUUUUAGUUUUAGGUUUAUGUUUAGAUUAGAUUUAGGUUUAGUUUUAGGUUUAGUUCAGUUUUAGGAAAGAAAAAGAAGAAGAAGAAAAAACAGGAGAGGAGGAGAAGAAGAAGAAGAGGAAAAAGGAAAGGAGGAAGAAGAAGAGGAGGAGGAGAAGAAAAAAGAAGAAGAGGAAGAAGAAGAAGAAGAAAAAGGAGAGGAGGAGAAGAAGAAGAGGAGGAGGAGAAGAAAAAAGAAGAAGAGGAAGAAGAAGAAGAAAAAAAACAGGAGAGGAGGAGAAGAAGAAGAGGAAAAAGGAAAGGANNNNNNNNNNGCCCCGCCCCCCUCCUCCACCGGCCACCUCCUCCACCGGCCCUGCCCCAGGUGAGCUCUACCUCCUCAAUUUUUCUGUUUUUUUUCUGUUUUUUUAGUUUUAGGUUUAUGUUUAGUUUAGAUUUAGUUUUAGUUUUAGUUUUAGUUUUAGGUUUAGUUUUAGGUUUAGGUUUAGUUUUAGUUUAGUUUUAGGUUUAGAUUUAGUUUUUUCCUUUUUUCUGUUUUUUUAGUUUUAGGUUUAUGUUUAGUUUAGAUUUAGUUUUAGUUUUAGUUUUAGUUUUAGUUUUAGAUUUAGGUUUAGUUUUAGGUUUAGGUUUAGGAAAGAAGAAGAGGAAAAAGAAAAAAAGAGGAGGGG
rnacentral:lncRNA from 1 species